GAUGAACGCUAGCUACAGGCUUAACACAUGCCAGUCGAGGGGAAACGAUGAGAGAGCUUGCUCUCUUAGGCGUCGACCGGCGCACGGGUGAGUAACGCGUAUCCAACCUACCCAUUACAGGGGGAUAACCUUGCGAAAGUAAGACUAAUACCCCAUGGCAUUUUAUGGUGGCAUCAUUAUAGGAUUAAAGAUUUAUUGGUAAUGGAUGGGGAUGCGUCUGAUUAGCUUGUUGGCGGGGUAACGGCCCACCAAGGCAACGAUCAGUAGGGGUUCUGAGAGGAAGGUCCCCCACAUUGGAACUGAGACACGGUCCAAACUCCUACGGGAGGCAGCAGUGAGGAAUAUUGGUCAAUGGGCGAGAGCUUGAACCAGCCAAGUAGCGUGCAGGAUGACGGCCCUAUGGGUUGUAAACUGCUUUUAUAGGGGAAUAAAGUGAGCUACGUGUAGUUUAUUGCAUGUACCCUAUGAAUAAGGACCGGCUAAUUCCGUG
rnacentral:rRNA from 1 species